GGGUCAGUAGGUUGGUCGUGCCACCGGUACGUACUGGUCUCACUGAUUCCUCCUUCCUGAAGAACCGUAAUGCCAUUAAUUUGGUGUUGCGGGGAAACAGGACUGUUACUUUGAAAAAAUUAGAGUGUUUAAAGCAAGCUAACGCUUGAACACAUUAGCAUGGAAUAAUGAAAUAGGACGAUCGACCCUAUUUUGUUGGUUUCUAGGAUUGACGUA
rnacentral:rRNA from 1 species